GAUGAACGCUGGCGGCGUGCCUAAUACAUGCAAGUCGAGCGAACGGACGAGAAGCUUGCUUUUCUGAUGUUAGCGGCGGACGGGUGAGUAACACGUGGAUAACCUACCUAUAAGACUGGGAUAACUUCGGGAAACCGGAGCUAAUACCGGAUAAUAUUUUGAACCGCAUGGUUCAAAAGUGAAAGACGGUCUUGCUGUCACUUAUAGAUGGAUCCGCGCUGCAUUAGCUAGUUGGUAAGGUAACGGCUUACCAAGGCAACGAUGCAUAGCCGACCUGAGAGGGGGAGCGGCCACACUGGAACGGAGACACGGUCCAGACUCCUACGGGAGGCAGCAGUAGGGAAUCUUCCGCAAUGGGCUAAAGCCUGACGGAGCAACGCCGCGUGAGUGAUGAAGGGCUUCGGAUCGUAAAACUCUGUUAUUAGGGAAGAACAUAUGUGUAAGUAACUGUGCACAUCUUGACGGUACCGAAUCAGAAAGCCACGGCUAACUACGUG
rnacentral:rRNA from 1 species